UUCCACUUUCGGGUAGCGACAUGGUCAGC
rnacentral:sRNA from 1 species